rnacentral:rRNA from 1 species
UAGGGAAUCUUCGGCAAUGGACGAAAGUCUGACCGAGCAACGCCGCGUGAGUGAAGAAGGUUUUCGGACUCGUAAAACUCUGUUGGUAGAGAAGAACGUUGGUGAGAGUGGAAAGCUCAUCAAGUGACGGUAACUACCCAGAAAGGGACGGCUAACUACGUGCCAG